rnacentral:rRNA from 1 species
GACGAACGCUGGCGGCGUGCUUAACACAUGCAAGUCGAACGGGCCCGCCCCUGUUUUUGGGGGUGGGUUGAGUGGCGAACGGGUGAGUAUCACGUGAGUAACCUGCCCCCUGCUCCUGGAUAACUGCUUGAAAGGGCGGCUAAUACGGGGUGUGCCGGCUGGUCCGCAUGGGCCUGGUCGGGAUAGUUUCAUCUUCGGGUGUUUCGGUGGGGGAUGGGCUCGCGGCCUAUCAGCUUGUUGGUGGGGUGAUGGCCCACCAAGGCGGUGACGGGUAGCCGGCUUGAGGGGGUGGCGGGCCAAACUGGGACUGGGACACGGCCCGGACUCCUGCGGGAGGCAGCAGUGGGGGGUAUUGCACAAUGGGCGGAAGCCUGAUGCAGCGACGUCGCGUGAGGGAUGGAGGCCUUCGGGUUGUGAACCUCUUUCUCCGGUGGUGAAGGCCCUGUCCGUUGCGGCGGGGUUGACGGUAGCCGGGUAUGAAGCGCCGGCUAACUACGUG